AGAGUUUGAUCCUGGCUCAGAAUGAACGCUGGCGGCGCGCCUAACACAUGCAAGUCGAGCGAGGCCCCUCCUUCGGGAGGAGAGUCGAGCGGCGAACGGGUGAGUAACGCGUGGGUAACCUACCCUGGAGUGGGGGAUAGCUCCUCGAAAGAGGGGGUAAUACCGCAUACGUUCUCCGUGACACAAGUCGCGGGGAAGAUAGGCUGGGACCUUUCGGGGCCAGCCGCUCCUGGAUGGGCCCGCGUCCGAUUAGCUAGUUGGUAGGGUAAUGGCCUACCAAGGCUGCGAUCGGUAGCCGGCCUGAGAGGGUGAUCGGCCACAUUGGGACUGAGACACGGCCCAGACUCCUACGGGAGGCAGCAGUGGGGAAUCUUGGGCAAUGGGGGAAACCCUGACCCAGCGACGCCGCGUGGGGGAUGAAGGCCUUCGGGUUGUAAACCCCUGUCAGGGGGGGCGAAAGCCUUCCGGUGAAUAGCCGGGAGGUCUGACAGUACCCCCAAAGGAAGCCCCGGCUAACUCCGUGCCAGCAGCCGCGGUAAUACGGAGGGGGCAAGCGUUAUUCGGAAUUACUGGGCGUAAAGCGCGCGC
rnacentral:rRNA from 1 species